rnacentral:rRNA from 1 species
GGGGAUCUUAGGACCUCUCGCUACAGGGGCGGCCGAUGGCAGAUUAGCUAGUUGGUGGGGUAAAGGCCUACCAAGGCGACGAUCUGUAGCUGGUCUGAGAGGACGACCAGCCACACUGGGACUGAGACACGGCCCAGACUCCUACGGGAGGCAGCAGUGGGGAAUUUUGGACAAUGGGGGCAACCCUGAUCCAGCAAUGCCGCGUGUGUGAAGAAGGCCUUCGGGUUGUAAAGCACUUUUGUCCGGAAAGAAAACGCUCUGGUUAAUACCCGGGGCGGAUGACGGUACCGGAAGAAUAAGCACCGGCUAACUACGUGCCAGCAGCCGCGGUAAUACGUAGGGUGCAAGCGUUAAUCGGAAUUACUGGGCGUAAAGCGUGCGCAGGCGGUCCGCUAAGACAGAUGUGAAAUCCCCGGGCUUAACCUGGGAACUGCAUUUGUGACUGGC